GGGCGGUGUGUACAAGGGCAGGGACGUAAUCAACGCAAGCUGAUGACUUGCGCUUACUAGGAAUUCCUCGUUGAAGAGCAAUAAUUACAAUGCUCUAUCCCCAGCACGACGGAGUUUCACAAGAUUUCCCAGACCUCUCGGCCAAGGUUAAUACUCGUUGGCUCCGUCAGUGUAGCGCGCGUGCGGCCCAGAACGUCUAAGGGCAUCACAGACCUGUUAUUGCCUCAAACUUCCAUCGACUUGAAAUCGAUAGUCCCUCUAAGAAGUGACUAUACCAGCAAAAGCUAGCAGCACUAUUUAGUAGGUUAAGGUCUCGUUCGUUAUCGCAAUUAAGCAGACAAAUCACUCCACCAACUAAGAACGGCCAUGCACCACCACCCACAAAAUCAAGAAAGAGCUCUCAAUCUGUCAAUCCUUUUUGUGUCUGGACCUGGUGAGUUUCCCCGUGUUGAGUCAAAUUAAGCCGCAGGCUCCACUCCUGGUGGUGCCCUUCCGUCAAUUCCUUUAAGUUUCAGCCUUGCGACCAUGCUCCCCCCAGAACCCAAAGACUUUGAUUUCUCGUAAGGUGCCGAGUGCGUCAAAAAAAGAACAACACCCGAUCCCUAGUCGGCAUAGUUUAUGGUUAAGACUACGACGGUAUCUGAUCAUCUUCGAUCCCCUAACUUUCGUUCUUGAUUAAUGAAAACGUCCUUGGCAAAUGCUUUCGCAGUAGUUAGUCUUCAGGUAAUCCAAGAAAUUCACCUCUGACGACUGAAUACUGAUGCCCCCGACCGUCCCUAUUAAUCAUUACGAUGGUCCUAGAAACCAACAAAAUAGAACCAUAACGUCCUAUUCUAUUAUUCCAUGCUAAUAUAUUCGAGCAAAGGCCUGUUUUGAACACUCUAAUCUUUUCAAAGUAAAAGUCCUGGUUCGCCAAACACCACAAGGGCGAAAGGUUAGCCAGAAGGAAAGGCUCGGUUGGGUCCAGUACUCGCCAAAAAGGCGGACCGGCCAACCAAGCCCAAGGUACAACUACGAGCUUUUUAACUGCAACAACUUUAAUNUACGCUAUUGGAGCUGGAAUUACCG
rnacentral:rRNA from 1 species